CAUGUGACUCCACCUAACCGCAAAGGAGGCUGGGACGUGUCAAGCUAGGCAGCUGUGGCCCCGGCUACCAUGUUGUUACUCUGGAAAGAGAAGGAAAUGGACUCAGGACAAGGGUUGUGGCCCGGAGACCCAGUGGACCGGAAGAGCCCAAUUAGGAGGCGAUCAAGACCCCACCUGUUCCUACUUUCCUGCAGAAAAACAACUAGGUGAUUAAAAAUGGAAUAUCAUCCAGAAAGCCUUCUACAAGUCGGGGCAUUGUGGGCACAACUGCGUUAGCGGUUGAUUCCUUUAACAGAUGAUUCCUAUUUUCACCCAAUGCAUACAUGACUUAAAGUCUAUUUAUUGAACAAUUAUAGGCCAAAAAUACUGCUGAUGCAAAUGAGUAUUAUUAAACACUGUAGGAUUUGCCAAACAACCCACAACAAAUUAAAUUGCUAAUAACGAGCUCAACAGCGAUUUAUCAUCAGCUAAGCAAAAAGAGCAGCAGUUGAAAACCGUGGCCGAUUCAAGAUACCACGAAGACAAAAUGCUCCCCCAGGAAAUCAUGGAAAAUGUAGACUAUCGGUGUACCCUUGUGUGCGAUGCUGUGUUGUUUGUCAGCCGGGCUUCUAGGUGGAAUACUAAAACAGAGUGCUCAAAGCAUUACGGUGAUGCUAAAAUUCCGUGGCAAUUGGGCGCUGGAAGGACAAUCGCCCCGAGACUCUGAGUGAUGUGUAUAGUUUCCCUGGGAGCCCUCCAGGCGGAAAAAACAACCGGGCCCUGGAAUUAGGAGAAGAUUGUUCUGGUAGAGUUAGGAGGGAGAGAAGGAAGGGCAUCAGGAAGAAAUUUAGCUUUCAGAAUGGCUAACCAAAUGCUACAAUUACCCAAGAAGCAUUAAGAAAGUAAAGAGUUUAGAGCAAA